rnacentral:rRNA from 1 species
GGUUAAGCGACCAAGCGUACACGGUGGAUGCCCUGGCAGUCAGAGGCGAUGAAGGACGUGCUAAUCUGCGAAAAGCGCCGGUAAGGUGAUAUGAACCGUUAUAACCGGCGAUGUCCGAAUGGGGAAACCCAGUGUGACUCGUCACACUAUCAUUAACUGAAUCCAUAGGUUAAUGAGGCGAACCGGGGGAACUGAAACAUCUAAGUACCCCGAGGAAAAGAAAUCAACCGAGAUUCCCCCAGUAGCGGCGAGCGAACGGGGAGGAGCCCAGAGCCUGAAUCAGUAUGUGUGUUAGUGGAAGCGUCUGGAAAGGCGCGCGAUACAGGGUGACAGCCCCGUACACAAAAGCGCAUGUGCUGUGAGCUCGAUGAGUAGGGCGGGACACGUGGUAUCCUGUCUGAAUAUGGGGGGACCAUCCUCCAAGGCUAAAUACUCCUGACUGACCGAUAGUGAACCAGUACCGUGAGGGAAAGGCGAAAAGAACCCCGGCGAGGGGAGUGAAAAAGAACCUGAAACCGUGUACGUACAAGCAGUGGGAGCCCCACCACUAAGCCAGUGGUGAACUCCACAUACGCAUCCUUUGCGGAAGAUACGAUUAACGGAGCGAAAGCGACGUUCAACCGCAAAAGAAGCAGAGGGGGCUUAGUGGUGGGGUGACUGCGUACCUUUUGUAUAAUGGGUCAGCGACUUAUAUUCUGUAGCAAGGUUAACCGUAUAGGGGAGCCGGAGGGAAACCGAGUCUUAACCGGGCGUUAAGUUGCAGGGUAUAGACCCGAAACCCGGUGAUCUAGCCAUGGGCAGGUUGAAGGUUGGGUAACACUAACUGGAGGACCGAACCGACUAAUGUUGAAAAAUUAGCGGAUGACCUGUGGCUGGGGGUGAAAGGCCAAUCAAACCGGGAGAUAGCUGGUUCUCCCCGAAAGCUAUUUAGGUAGCGCCUCGUGAACUCAUCUCCGGGGGUAGAGCACUGUUUCGGCCAGGGGGCCAUCCCGGCUUACCAACCCGAUGCAAACUGCGAAUACCGGAGAAUGUUAUCACGGGAGACACACGGCGGGUGCUAACGUCCGUCGUGAAGAGGGAAACAACCCAGACCGCCAGCUAAGGUCCCAAAGUCAUGGUUAAGUGGGAAACGAUGUGGGAAGGCCCAGACAGCCAGGAUGUUGGCUUAGAAGCAGCCAUCAUUUAAAGAAAGCGUAAUAGCUCACUGGUCGAGUCGGCCUGCGCGGAAGAUGUAACGGGGCUAAACCAUGCACCGAAGCUGCGGCAGCGAACGUAUCACUUAAAGCGAUUCAGCGGAUGACGAUUGACGGAGCGAAGCGACGUCAAAGCGUUUUACAACGUCGAGUCGGUUUAAGGAUACG